rnacentral:rRNA from 1 species
GAUGAACGCUGGCGGCGUGCCUAAUACAUGCAAGUCGAGCGAACGGACGAGAAGCUUGCUUCUCUGAUGUUAGCGGCGGACGGGUGAGUAACACGUGGAUAACCUACCUAUAAGACUGGGAUAACUUCGGGAAACCGGAGCUAAUACCGGAUAAUAUUUUGAACCGCAUGGUUCAAAAGUGAAAGACGGUCUUGCUGUCACUUAUAGAUGGAUCCGCGCUGCAUUAGCUAGUUGGUAAGGUAACGGCUUACCAAGGCAACGAUGCAUAGCCGACCUGAGAGGAUGAUCGGCGACACUGGGACUGAGACAGGGUCCAGAAUCCUACGGGAGGCAGAAGUGGGGAAUAUUGGAGAAGGGUCGCAAGCCUGAUAAAGCAAUAGCGCGUGGGUGAAGGAGGCCUUCGGGUUUUAAAGCCCUUGUGUUGGGAAAGAAAAGCAGCAGGUUAAUACCCCGCUGUUCUGACGGUACGCAAAGAAUAAGCACCGGCGAACUUCGUG